GGGAUGACGUCAAAUCAGCACGGCCCUUAUGUCCGGGCGACACACGUGUUACAGUGGGAGGUACAGAGGGCAGCCAGUUAGUGAUAACGCGCCAAUCUCAAAAACCUCUCUCAGUUCGGAUUGGAGUCUGCAACUCGACUCCAUGAAGUUGGAUUCGCUAGUAAUCGCGCAUCAGCCAUGGCGCGGUGAAUACGUUCCCGGGCCUUGUACACACCGCCCGUCAAGCCAUGGAAGCUUGGAGUGCCUAAAGUUCGUAACCGUAAGGAGCGACCUAGGCA
rnacentral:rRNA from 1 species